rnacentral:rRNA from 1 species
GGAAGCAACAAUAUCUGAGUACAGACAUAAGUUAAACAAGUUGCCUUAAGAAGGCUAGCACAAACUGGGAUACAGAUCGAAAGAGGCGCAGGCCUCCUGCCUGGGAUCCUCCUAACUACUCCUGGUCGUCGUCAGCGGACUGCACGUAGUAGUAGGCACCUCCGGUGUAGUAGGGGUCGUCGUCGACGGUGGCGUCUGGCUCCUGGACUCCAGCAUCUGGUUGC